CGGACGGGUGCGUAACGCGUAUGCAACCUGCCUGACACAGGGGGAUAAUCCGAAGAAAUUUGGUCUAAUACCCCAUAAUACCGAUAUAGGCAUCUAUGUUGGUUGAAAGCUUUGGUGGUGUCAGAUGGGCAUGCGUUGUAUUAGCUAGUUGGUGAGGUAACGGCUCACCAAGGCGACGAUACAUAGGGGGACGUGAGAGGUUAACCCCCCACACUGGUACUGAGACACGGACCAGACUCCUACGGGAGGCAGCAUG
rnacentral:rRNA from 1 species